rnacentral:ncRNA from 1 species
AUAGAAUGCAGGUGACAUGGUGUUGAAGCGGCCCUGCCGUUUCAAAUGAAAAGGGAACGUGGACAAGCCACGGCUGCCCCCGCAACUGUAAGCGAUGAGCCCGCCUCACACGCCACUGGCCACUGCCGGGAAGGCGAGGCAAGGGUGAUGACGCGCAAGCCAGGAGACCUGCCAUGUCGACUUCCAUUCA